UACGUAGGGUGCGAGCGUUGUCCGGAAUUACUGGGCGUAAAGAGCUCGUAGGUGGUUUGUCGCGUUGUUCGUGAAAACUCACAGCUUAACUGUGGGCGUGCGGGCGAUACGGGCAGACUGGAGUACUGUAGGGGAGACUGGAAUUCCUGGUGUAGCGGUGAAAUGCGCAGAUAUCAGGAGGAACACCGAUGGCGAAGGCAGGUCUCUGGGCAUUAACUGACGCUGAGGAGCGAAAGCAUGGGGAGCGAACAGG
rnacentral:rRNA from 1 species